rnacentral:rRNA from 1 species
UACGAAGGGGGCUAGCGUUGUUCGGAAUUACUGGGCGUAAAGCGCACGUAGGCGGACUAUUAAGUCAGGGGUGAAAUCCCGGGGCUCAACCUCGGAACUGCCUUUGAUACUGCUAGUCUCGAGUCCGGAAGAGGUGAGUGGAAUUCCGAGUGUAGAGGUGAAAUUCGUAGAUAUUCGGAGGAACACCAGUGGCGAAGGCGGCUCACUGGUCCGGUACUGACGCUGAGGUGCGAAAGCGUGGGGAGCAAACAGG